UCCCCCCAUUACUACAGCAGCUGGUUGUUUCAGAGUUUCAUGCAGUUAUCCUUAAAACACUCCACUGAGGCAGGGAAGCAGUACAAUCUUGGUCGGACAGAUGAGAUGGACUUCUGAGGCACAAAAAAGCAAAGGACUUUUUUCAGCUGGAGUUUCUUUUCUGGGAAAGAGCAUAGAAGGCUUUAAGGAAAAAAAGCAUCACUUGGUGCCAUAAACUAUCUAGGACUUGAUCCUGCCUGUAUUGCUUGAAGUCAAAGGGAAAUAUGUGUGCGUAGGAAAAGCAGAACUGAGCCCUUGGCAAACAUCUGUGUGUUUUUUAAAGGAAACUUUUAUGAUAAAAUAGAGAAAGAGGGAAACCAGUACUUUAUAAGCAUCAAAUCUGUUUCAGCUCAAAAACCUGACCAUGCAAUUAUAUAGAUGGCUUUUCUCACAUAAAUAGAUCCAUUGAUCAGCUUUAUUCUUGUGAGCAGAGUUUUGUUAUUGUAUCAUUUUCCACCUUGCAAAUAUGGCUUGAUCUGCCAAACAUACACUUAACUUUAUACGGGCAAAUCAUUCUAUUUCAACGCAAAUAUUCAUAUGCAUAAAGUUGCAGGAAAGAGAUCUAAACCUGAACCUGGGGGAAACUAAAACAAAAAGUAACCUGGAAAAUUCAGAUGCAUAUAAUUUAAAUGCCUUGCGCAU